UCAGCUUCUGUUUCCAUCUGACCAACACAUUUAUGUGUUUUGACAUGAGAACGCCAGGCAAAUCUUUUAUUACAAACACUGCAGCUGAAUCUUUUCUCUCCUGUGUGGACUACCAUGUGUGACCGUAAAUCUCCACUCUGUAUAAAAGAUUUCUUACAGACUGAGCAGCUGAAAGGUUUUUCUCCAGAAUGAGUCAUCAUGUGGGUCUUCAGGGUUCCACGUUCAGUGAAAGCUCUACCACACUCAGAGCAGCUGAAAGGUUUUUCUCCUGUGUGAGUUAUCAUGUGUCUCUUCAGAUGUGAUUUGAAGCCACAUCUUUUCCCACACUCUGAGCAGCUGAAUGUUUUCUUACGUCGUGAAUCAUAUUUCAGAGAGUUUAAAGCUGACUGAGGUUCUCUGGUCUCCUUCCAAUCAGCA